UGGGGAAUAUUGGACAAUGGGCGCAAGCCUGAUCCAGCCAUGCCGCGUGAGUGACGAAGGUCUUCGGAUUGUAAAGCUCUUUUAGCAGGGAAGAUAAUGACGGUACCUGCAGAAUAAGCCCCGGCUAACUUCGUGCCAGCAGCCGCGGUAAUACGAAGGGGGCUAGCGUUGUUCGGAAUUACUGGGCGUAAAGCGCACGUAGGCGGAUUGAUAAGUUAGAGGUGAAAUCCCGGGGCUCAACCUCGGAACUGCCUUUGAUACUGUUAGUCUCGAGUCCGAUAGAGGUGAGUGGAAUUCCUAGUGUAGAGGUGAAAUUCGUAGAUAUUAGGAAGAACACCAGUGGCGAAGGCGGCUCACUGGAUCGGUACUGACGCUGAGGUGCGAAAGCGUGGGGAGCAAACAGGAUUAGAUACCCGCGUAGUCCCUGAGCGGGCUGGCAAGGCGCAU
rnacentral:rRNA from 1 species